AAUUCAAUGAUUUCAACUUCACCGCUGACCAGCCACGCUGCAAAACCAAUGCAGCAUAAGGAUUAUCCAUAACCUCCGCAAGACAAAGCAUCUGCUAAUUAACCU